GUCAGUCAAAUAGGCUUUCGAUCAAAUGAAGGUAACUUAUUUACUUAUGUAGUUUAAUUUAGAAAUACUUGCUCCUAGGUGUUAUGGGCAUUACGCAGUGCUUCCUUAUGCAUACAUCAUGUUGGCCCCUUUUUCUGGUGUUCAGAUGCACAUUGCUUGUAGUUUUAUACUGUAUAUUGGGGAAGACUGUAUUAUCUAAUAUCUACGUAUAGCAUAUUUGAGUAUUUCCAGUGUACUUUUCUUAUCCAGUCUGCGAGUAUGAUUUUAAGUCUUUUAAUGUGAGAAAUAUUUCACUGGCAUCUAGAUACCUAAGUUUUUUUAUGCAUGUUCGAUCUUAAUCCGGUACUUCUGAAGAUCAUCAUAGUACCUACUCGUAUUCUGUGCCCUUUAAACUUUAGUCCAUGUCAGGUAACUACCAAACAGGCAUACGUAAUGAGAUGUUGCCCACUCUGACUUCACAAGACAGUCGCAUGUAAACCAAGCGCGAAAUGAGACUGGCACAAGUUUCUACGUCUUGCCUUACUUUGGACAGGUUUGUAUCUGCGGAAUUCCCAAUACAGUAAAACAAAGUGUGCUUUACUUCAGCUAUUCUUGCCAACCCAUUGCUGAGCAACAGGUUAUUUUAUAUGCCGCUUGUGGGUUACUCCACUUUCCUCAAUUUUAUUUUUCAGGUGGAGUUUUUCUUGUAUAUUAUUAUUCUCAUACUGAUAUUGUUAUACCUUUCUAAUUUUUUUUUAUUGAUCUAAUAGUGAUUAUUUUUCUAAGUAGUUUUUCAUUUCUUUUGCAGUAUAAUGCAGACAUCUCUUACAGAGUAUGUGUGCUACGUCUAGUCUGUGAAGUGCUGGUUCUUCUGUGGACUUGAACUUGGACGACAGAGCCUCUGUAGUAUAAUGCAGACAUCUCUUACAGAGUAUGUGUGCUACGUCUAGUCUGUGAAGUGCUGGUUCUUCUGUGGACUUGAACUUGGACGACAGAGCCUCUGUAGUAUAAUGCAGACAUCUCUUACAGAGUAUGUGUGCUACGUCUAGUCUGUGAAGUGCUGGUUCUUCUGUGGACUUGAACUUGGACGACAGAGCCUCUGUAGUAUAAUGCAGACAUCUCUUACAGAGUAUGUGUGCUACGUCUAGUCUGUGAAGUGCUGGUUCUUCUGUGGACUUGAACUUGGACGACAGAGCCUCUGUAGUAUAAUGCAGACAUCUCUUACAGAGUAUGUGUGCUACGUCUAGUCUGUGAAGUGCUGGUUCUUCUGUGGACUUGAACUUGGACGACAGAGCCUCUGUAGUAUAAUGCAGACAUCUCUUACAGAGUAUGUGUGCUACGUCUAGUCUGUGAAGUGCUGGUUCUUCUGUGGACUUGAACUUGGACGACAGAGCCUCUGUAGGUAGGUUUUCCUACUAAAGAAAAGAAAAACUAAUUAGAAAAAUAAUCACUUGAAACUUUCAGAUAAUGCAUUGUUUCAGCAUAUGUAGACUGCUGCAUGUGAAAGACCAGAAUAGGUUACAUUUCACGAUGUAUUAAUGAGUGGAUUGCUGAAGAUUCAUCCAAAUGCAUAAUGUCACUGCUAGAUGCUUUUUGAGUUCAAUCUCGAUUAAACUAGGCGUCGCCCUGCACAUGCUCAGUGUAGCAAAACAAGCACUUAGUUUAUUUUUUACACCUGACUUCUUGUGUUUUCUACACCUCAGUUCUUCUGUGUUGUGCAACAGGGUGGUAAUACUCUGUUGCUGGUAGUUUACCAGGCGAAUAGUCCUGCGCCCUUGCAAUCCUAGCCAAGAGUUU